AACGAACGCUGGCGGCAUGCCUAACACAUGCAAGUCGAACGAGACCUUCGGGUCUAGUGGCGCACGGGUGCGUAACGCGUGGGAACCUGCCCUUAGGUUCGGAAUAACUCCCCGAAAGGGGUGCUAAUACCGGAUAAUGUCUUCGGACCAAAGAUUUAUCGCCCUUGGAUGGGCCCGCGUUGGAUUAGCUAGUUGGUAGGGUAAAAGCCUACCAAGGCGACGAUCCAUAGCUGGUCUGAGAGGAUGAUCAGCCACACUGGGACUGAGACACGGCCCAGACUCCUACGGGAGGCAGCAGUGGGGAAUAUUGGACAAUGGGCGAAAGCCUGAUCCAGCAAUGCCGCGUGAGUGAUGAAGGCCUUAGGGUUGUAAAGCUCUUUUACCCGGGAAGAUAAUGACAGUACCGGGAGAAUAAGCUCCGGCUAACUCCGUG
rnacentral:rRNA from 1 species